GUGGGGAAUUUUGGACAAUGGGCGCAAGCCUGAUCCAGCAAUGCCGCGUGCAGGAAGAAGGCCUUCGGGUUGUAAACUGCUUUUGUACGGAACGAAACGGUCCUGGUUAAUACCUGGGGCUAAUGACGGUACCGUAAGAAUAAGCACCGGCUAACUACGUGCCAGCAGCCGCGGUAAUACGUAGGGUGCGAGCGUUAAUCGGAAUUACUUGGCGUAAAGCGUGCGCAGGCGGUGCUGUAAGACAGGCGUGAAAUCCCCGGGCUCAACCUGGGAAUUGCGCUUGGGACUGCAAGGCUGGAGUGCGGCAGAGGGGGAUGGAAUUCCGCGUGUAGCAGUGAAAUGCGUAGAUAUGCGGAGGAACACCGAUGGCGAAGGCAAUCCCCUGGGCCUGCACUGACGCUCAUGCACGAAAGCGUGGGGAGCAAACAGGAUUAGAUACCCUAGUAGUCC
rnacentral:rRNA from 1 species